GAUGAUGCAAUAUUGACUAUGUUGAAUAAAAUUCUAGGUAGAAUUAUGAUAAUGACAUUGUCUGCCUAUGUGUCUUGACCAAAUUACGUGCCAGCAGUCGCGGUAAUACGUAGAAGACUAGUGUUAUUCAUGUUUAAUCGGUUUAAAGGGUACCUAGACGGCAGAUCAAGCUUUCCGAGCAGAAAAAAAGUAAAAAGGACUAAUUUGCUAGAGUUACUUACGAGGGGGUUUUAAAGUACUGCUGGUGUAGAGAUGAAAUUCUUUAAUACCUAUUUUCGAAAGAAUUAUAAUGGCACAGGUAUAGGCGAAGGCAUCCCCUUAUGUGAUAACUGACGUUGAGGGACGAAGGCUUUAUACAACGAACGGGAUUAGAUACCCCAUUAGUGGAAGCAGUAAAUGAUGAAUGUCAUAGAUUAGUAGAUAGGUUCAUUCUAUAAAUGAAAGUGUAAGCAUUCCMCCUCAUGAGUAAUAUGGCAACCUUGGAAUUGAAAUCAUUAGACCGUAUUUGAAACCAGUAGUGAAGUAUGUUGUUUAAUUUGAUGAUCCGCAAAAAACCUUACCCCAAUUUGAAUAUUUAUAUUUUUUUUUUUUGUCCUUAAUUUUAUUCUAAAGUGGAAAGAAAUUAAUAAAGAGGCAAUAAGAUAUAUUUACAAGCGUUGCACGGCUGUCUUCAGUUAAUGUCGCGAGAUUUUGGUUAGAUCCAUAAAAUUAACGUAAACCCUUACUUUAUUUUU
rnacentral:rRNA from 1 species